AGUACACUAGCCCUCUGCACCCUGGUCAAAGUAGGCACCCACAGCACCUGGUCAAAGUAGGGCACUAGCCCUAGCCCCCAGCACCCUGGUCAAAGUAGUGGUACUAGCCCCCGGCUCAAAGUAGUGCACUAGCCCCAGCACCCUGGUCAAAGUAGGGCACUAGCCCCAGCACCCUGGUCAAAGUAGGCGCUAUGCCCCAG
rnacentral:lncRNA from 1 species